AUCAGAAACCCAGGGACGAACUCUCAUUCUUUCAAAACCCUAACUCCUCUAAAUUCACUCAAAAUCCAAGAAAUAAAACCCAAUUGAAGGUGAAUCAAGGCUGAAUUUGUGAUCCUCAUACUUAGUAGGUCACAAGGUGAUUUGGGUGGAUCAUCAAGUGGACAAGGCGGGUCGGAUAACCGCUUAAAAGGAAAGCUUUGAAAAGGUGAUGGUAGCGAAUUGCGGAUGAUGAUCAAGUACCCGAAAGGAUCGAACACACAAAUGUUAAAGCUUCCACAAUUAU